AUUGAACGCUGGCGGCAUGCUUUACACAUGCAAGUCGAACGGUAACAGGCCGCAAGGUGCUGACGAGUGGCGAACGGGUGAGUAAUGCAUCGGAACGUGCCCAGUCGUGGGGGAUAACGCAGCGAAAGCUGCGCUAAUACCGCAUACGAUCUCUGGAUGAAAGCGGGGGACCGAAAGGCCUCGCGCGAUUGGAGCGGCCGAUGUCAGAUUAGGUAGUUGGUGGGGUAAAGGCCCACCAAGCCAACGAUCUGUAGCUGGUCUGAGAGGACGACCAGCCACACUGGGACUGAGACACGGCCCAGACUCCUACGGGAGGCAGCAGUGGGGAAUUUUGGACAAUGGGCGCAAGCCUGAUCCAGCAAUGCCGCGUGCAGGAAGAAGGCCUUCGGGUUGCAAACUGCUUUUGUACGGAACGAAACGGUCCUGGUUAAUACCUGGGGCUAAUGACGGUACCGUAAGAAUAAGCACCGGCUAACUACGUGCCAGCCGCCGCAGUAACAC
rnacentral:rRNA from 1 species